UGAGGAAUAUUGGACAAUGGAUGGAAAUCUGAUCCAGCCAUGCCGCGUGCAGGAAGACGGUCCUAUGGAUUGUAAACUGCUUUAGCAUGGGAGCAAUAAGGUGUACGCGUACACCGAUGAGAGUACCAUGAGAAUAAGCACCGGCUAACUCCGUGCCAGCAGCCGCGGUAAUACGGAGGGUGCAAGCGUUAUCCGGAUUUAUUGGGUUUAAAGGGUGCGUAGGCUGUUUGACAAGUCAGUGGUGAAAGCCCGGGGCUUAACUCCGGAAUUGCCGUUGAUACUGUUGAGCUGGAAUACGGAUGCCGUGGGAGGAAUGAGUAGUGUAGCGGUGAAAUGCAUAGAUAUUACUCAGAACACCGAUUGCGAAGGCAUCUCACGAAUCCGUCAUUGACGCUGAGGCACGAAAGCGUGGGGAUCAAACAGGAUUAGAUACCCUGGUAGU
rnacentral:rRNA from 1 species